GGACCUUAUCGAAAGUAAUCUACGAUUGGUGUAAAGUGAUAACGUGAGAGAAGAUAUAGAAGAGGAGACGAGAGAUGAAGGGAAGGACUUCGCCGUACGUAAUCAAGUCCGUCAUCGCCGCUCCUCAAGGACCGACCCCGCCGACCAACCUAACCGGCCGGUAUCAUCGAUCCUCAACGGAGAUGUCGUAGAUGACCCUUCCCUAGACGCCUUACUCGACCGAAGUCCCAACCUCCAUCCGAGUCGAUCCAGUUUACCCGACGUUAAAUCAACAAGAGGUGAUUUAAUUCGAAUAUUGUCAACACUUUACCGACGACCCCCACUCACCUCCUCCGAGAGAUGGCCCAAUCUAAUGAAUGGUGAGACUCCCCUGUUACAUCACCACCACCUCCGUCACCACCACCUGCGGAGGUUAACAACGAAUCCUUACAGGCCGCACUAGCAUUUGCUCGGGGCCAACAUCUGCACAAUUCUACACAGGCCACGAUCAUUCUUCCUAUUGGCUAUAAGUGUCCUCCGUCGCUGGAAGGAGCCUUACGGGAAGAAGUUGAGAUCACCCGCCACUGUUAUUAGCAGUUGGAAACCACACCACCUGUACAUGCGGCCAGAACACCACUGUUCCCAGUUUCCCUAUGAGGGGACGUUCUCGACAACCCCGAACGACUAGAAAUCGGGGCAGGGCCACUCAUCCGUAAUUUCUAACAAUUUUUUUUAUAAUGUAUUAUAUUCA